GACGAACGCUGGCGGCGUGCUUAACACAUGCAAGUCGAACGGAAAGGCCCUGCUUUUGUGGGGUGCUCGAGUGGCGAACGGGUGAGUAACACGUGAGUAACCUGCCCUUGACUUUGGGAUAACUUCAGGAAACUCGGGCUCAUACCGGAUAGGAGCUCCUGCUGCAUGGGGGGGGUUGGAAAGGUUCGGUGGUUGGGGAUGGACUCGCGGCUUAUCAGCUUGUUGGUGGGGUAGUGGCUUACCAAGGCUUUGACGGGUAGCCGGCCUGAGAGGGUGACCGGCCACAUUGGGACUGGGAUACGGCCCAGACUCCUACGGGAGGCAGCAGUGGGGAAUAUUGCACAAUGGGCGGAAGCCUGAUGCGGCAACGCCGCGUGCGGGAUGACGGCCUUCGGGUGGUAAACCGCUUUCGCAGGUGACGAGCCGUGAGUGACGGUACUGGGUAAAGAAGCACCGGCUAACUACGUG
rnacentral:rRNA from 1 species